rnacentral:misc_RNA from 1 species
GGCAGUUGCAAGAGCCCAUCGCAUAGGGCAGAAGAGAGAAGUUAAAGUCAUUUACUUGGAGGCAGUUGUGGACAAAAUUGCAAGUCAUCAGAAAGAGGAUGAAUACCGUGGAGGCGUAGUUGAUUCUGAUGAUGACCUUGCAGGCAAGGACCGCUAUAUGGGAUCGAUUGAGAGUCUCAUUCGGAACAACAUUCAACAGUAUAAGAUUGAUAUGGCUGAUGAAGUUAUUAAUGCUGGGCGUUUUGACCAAAGGACUACACAUGAAGAGAGACGUUUGACUUUAGAGACAUUAUUACAUGAUGAGGAGAGAUAUCAGGAGACACUUCAUGAUGUUCCCUCUCUUCAGGAGGUAAAUCGCAUGAUUGCUAGGAGUGAAGAAGAGGUAGAACAAUUUGAUCAAAUGGAUGAAGAAUAUGAUUGGGAAGAGGAGAUGACUAGAUAUGACCAGGUUCCGAAGUGGCUUCGUGCUUCCAGUAAGGAUGUUAAUAUGGCCAUAGCCAAUCUAGCAAAAAAGCCCUCAAAGAAUGUCUUAUUCAGUAGUGGUGUUGGUGUGGACUCCAGUGGAUUAGCUCCUGAAUCUGAGAAGAAAAGGGGGCGGCCUAAAGGUAAGAAGGUUCCUAUUUACACAGAAUUGGAUGAUGACAACGGUGAGUUCUCUGAAGCAAGUUCUGGGGAGAGGAAUGGAUAUUCAGCCCAUGAAGAUGGUGAAAUUGGGGAAUUCGAAGAUGAUGAAUUUAGUGGUGCAGUUGGUGUUACACCAGUUAACAAAGACCAGUCAGAAGAAGAUGGUCCCAGUUUUGCUGAUAGAUAUGAAUACCACCAAGGUCCACAAGGUGCUAUAAAGACUCGUGUACCCGAUCAAUUAGGUUCAUCAGGAUCAUCUUCAGACAACCAAAGGCCGACACAGAUAGUAUCAUCGUCUGUUUCAUCUCAGCAGAAAUUUGGAUCUCUUUCUGCAUUGGAUGCCAGACCCAGUUCUCGGGCCAAAAGGAUGGCAGAUGAAUUAGAGGAAGGAGAAAUUGCAGUAUCUGGAGACUCACAUGUGGAUCUCCAGCAAUCUGGUAGUUGGAUCCAAGAUCGUGAUGAAGGUGAAGACGAACAGGUGUUGCAGCCCAAAAUAAAAAGGAAACGCAGUUUGAGGGUUCGACCAAGGCAGGCUACAGAAAGGCCAGAAGAGGCGCUCAUUGAGAAGCCAGCUGUGCAGCGUGGAGAUUCUUCUCAGAUGGCAUUUCAAGGGGAUCGUAGAUAUGAUCUCCAAAUGAGAAAUGACCGUGGACACAAAACGCAUGCAGGGCCUAGUGGUCCAAAGAAUAAUCAAAAUGAUGCAUCCUUUAAGAGUAAGCGAAGCAUACCUUCAAGGAAAUCAUCUUCUAAUUCAGUGAAGGUGUAUGGUUUAGGAAAACCUGGAAAAGUCAGUCGCUUGUCCCCUGAUGAUGCUUUUGAACCCACAAGGGAAAGUUGGGAUAAUAAGCUCAUGAAUGCCAGCGGGACUUAUAGUGGAGGGACUAAGAUGUCUGAGGUCAUUCAAAGAAAGUGCAAAACUGUCGUUACCAAACUCCAAAAGAAAAUAGAGAAGGGAGGUCAUCAAAUAAUUCCGCUGCUACACGGUCUGUGGAAAAGAAUUGGUAGUUCUGGUUGCAUGGGUGGGUCAGAGGAUAGUCCGUUUGGUUUACAGACAAUUGAUCUACGCGUUGAUGAGUCUGAGUACAGCGGAGUGCUCGAAUUUGUGUCUGAUGUGCAGCUGAUGUUAAAACGUGCAGUACAGUACUUCGGUUUCUCACAUGAGGUGAGAUCUGAAGCA